ACGCAGGCUCAAAGCCAGCCGCUUGGGUGGCACAGGCACUCCUCUGAGAGUGCUCCCAGCUCUGCCUCAGCUAUAAAAGGCAGACGCAUGCAGGUGAACUCAUGCUUCUUUCACCCGAAUCUCACUUGGUUGUAACUCCUCACGUUAAAAAUCACCUUCUUCAAAUGCCACCCAACCCAACUGUUAGGGUCUCAUGAAACCCUUCCCUAGAGCUGAUCGCUGAACAUACUAGCAGCUGUGACACAGAGCUGCCCGUGAUGCUGAGGGACUUGGUUGUGUCACCAAAGCAUUUUCCGCAUGGCCCCAGAGAGCAGCUAGAAGAAAUCCACCCACAGGCCCGGAAGGGAUUUGCAAGAACACAGAGACCUGUCACUCAGUGCUUGUAAAAUUAUAAUAAAAGACUUCCAGAACAUAAAAAUACCUCUGCUGAAACCAAUGUGCUGUUUAUAGACACAACCUUUGUCCCGUGCUCUAGAAUACGUUUGGAUAAGCCAUGCAGUUAAUCCAAAAAAAGAUUGAGGUUUUGUAUCAUGUGAGUAUGUUUGUGGAUUACGUUUCAGGGGCUCAGCUUUUGUCUGCAAUUGUGCUGUUGAUAAUUGGUAUCUGCUUUCAAUCACUAUGUCUUAAAGGGUUUGGUGAACUCCAUCAAUGGGCCUCGGGCUUAUGCGCUGCUCCAUCAAGACCUCCACUCCUAACCCCUAGACCUCCCUAGACCUACUUCCCUUUUGUGGUUCAUCCCCAAAGGCAAGAGGAGAGCACGAGCAGGAGCAUGGGGUGCUGCUCCGUGGGUGCCACCGAAAAGGAAAGGGGAGAGUGGGUGCUUGGGGAGCGCUGCAGGGAUGGGCAGACGCAGAAAGGUGCCAGGUGCCGUCACCAACAUCAGCCCCUCAAACAGCAAGUGCUGGUCUUGGUACUGUUCUGGUUAUGUAAACUGGUGGGUGCAAUAAUGGCCAAGUGUGUGAGCUCCUGCCGGGGUACAUUGCAGCAGGUGGGUCAGGUUUUUCUGAGUCCUUAUUCCAGCGCCUGGAGCAGCAGCAGGGGAGAGGCUCCAUGGGUCACAUUCACCCAUGUAACUUCAGAUGCUUAAAACCAGCCCUUAUCUACAAGCCAGGCAUCACAGUUCACCCCACAAUCCUUGCACAGGGAGCGGUUUCCAAGAUAGGGGAGAGAGCAGAGGAAGCAGUCGCUAAACCCCUGGGGCUCUGUGACCCAUGGUCCCACCAGGAACAGCAGCAUUUCCAGGAAUUGUGAGGGUCCUUGGCUCAGCAACAGCCCCACGCACUGUCCCCUGCACGAGCUCAUUUGCAAGGCAAAAGCUUUCUGGCAAAGCAGCUCGCGGAGCGUCCAAAUGUCGGCAGAGCAGACAGCGUCCCUGGCGCUGGCUCCCUUUCCAUCCGGCUGCUCCAGCUCAGGCACCAGCAUUGCUCAGAGGAUGAGCUCAUCGCUAUUUCAGGUUGAAUUUGCACUUGGCCAUCUCCCUGACGGCAGGAGAUCUUGUCCACACUGCAAGGAAGAAGGCAUCGAAUAUUUCGCCACUUUGAGACCUCCGGUCUGUUUUAAUUCAGUCACUCCGCAUCCACAGAGGAGAAGUCUUCUGCACCAUCGGGCCCAUUUUUUUAAGUCAAUGCUCUUCAGAAGGAAGCCAUUUUGGGCUGUGUCCAUGCAGAAGGAGGUUCGCGCACCACUUGGGAGGGCUUGGCUGUCCUCCUGGUUUCCACACACCAUGCUGGGGGUGACAUGCCCCACACAGCGCUCCCAGGCCAAGGCUAACAGCAGUUAAAACCACCCAGUGUGAGGGAACAGGGCCACCACACCCACCUGUCCUCUGUGGGACACCACAGCCAUACAGAGCCACAACAGCUCUCCAGGCCAACACGGGUAGCCUCUCCACAUAUGCUGGUCUCUUCUCCUGGCAUGCAGGAUAUGAGGGGACCUGACCUGUGCCUCAGCCAUACCAGCUGCCUCAGCUCUUCCUUCUCAUCACAGCCCGUCCCACAGCUGCCCCAUUCCAUGUGGGGGUAAUUACCAGUUCCCUCCAUUAGCUCUCUCCGGGCAAACCUCCUGUCUCACAAGCAGCAUUUCUCCUUCCUACAAAACCAACUGGAAGGGCCCUUUUCUUCUCCCAAAUUGCAGCCUGAAGGAGGCAGGCAUUUGGGGGCUUCAGUUGUGCAACCACCACCACCACCUCCUGCCAGUGCAUGAGCACAGGAAACCUUC